rnacentral:rRNA from 1 species
GACGAACGCUGGCGGCGUGCUUAACACAUGCAAGUCGAACGGAAAGGCCCUGCUUUUGUGGGGUGCUCGAGUGGCGAACGGGUGAGUAACACGUGAGUAACCUGCCCUUGACUUUGGGAUAACUUCAGGAAACUGGGGCUAAUACCGGCUAGGAGCUCCUGCUGCAUGGUGGGGGUUGGAAAGUUUCGGCGGUUGGGGAUGGACUCGCGGCUUAUCAGCUUGUUGGUGGGGUAGUGGCUUACCAAGGCUUUGACGGGUAGCCGGCCUGAGAGGGUGACCGGCCACAUUGGGACUGAGAUACGGCCCAGACUCCUACGGGAGGCAGCAGUGGGGAAUAUUGCACAAUGGGCGGAAGCCUGAGGCAGCAACGCCGCGUGCGGGAUGACGGCCUUCGGGUUGUAAACCGCUUUCGCCUGUGACGAAGCGGGAGUGACGGUAAUGGGUAAAGAAGCACCGGCUAACUACGUG